rnacentral:rRNA from 1 species
AGGAUCAUUAUCCUAACAAAAUGUGCAAGGCAUGCGCGCGAGGGCUGUCGCUGACUUUUUCAAGUCGUGCACGCCCAGCGUGUGUGUUCCUUGUCACAUAAAAUCCAUCUCACCCUUUUGUGCACCACCGCGUGGGCUUCUUCCCUUCGGGAUCAAACCGAUCCGGGAAGGGGGGGGCUUGCGUUUUCACACAAAACCCCCUUUUAAAAGUGUAGAAUGACCUCAUUUUUGCGAUAACACGCAAUCAAUACAACUUUCAACAACGGAUCUCUUGGCUCUCGCAUCGAUGAAGAACGCAGCGAAAUGCGAUACGUAAUGUGAAUUGCAGAAUUCAGUGAAUCAUCGAAUCUUUGAACGCACCUUGCGCCCCCUGGUAUUCCGAGGGGCACACCCGUUUGAGUGUCGUGAAAACCUCAACCUUCUCGGUUUCUUCUUGGACACCGAAGGAGGCUUGGACUUUGGAGGCCAUUGCCGGCAUCUCUGCCGGCUCCUCUCAAAUGAAUUAGCAGGGUCCUCUUUGCCGAUCCUCGACAUGUGAUAAGAUGUUUCCAUGUCUUGGUCUAUGGCUCUGUUGCCUUUGGGACCUGCUUCUAGCCGUCUCGUCGAGACAAUGUUUGAGCGUGUCUUCUUCCCUUCUCGGGGAAACAAACACUCUCGGACCCACGAACCCUUGACCUCAA